AUGGCUCCCUGGGCUGGGGCGGCGCUCUGGAUGCUGAACCCCCUACGCGUUGUGUGGCUCGCGCUGGCCGCCGCUUUCCUGCUGACCCUGCUGCUGCAGCUCGUGCCGCCUCGCUGGCUCCCCAGCUGCGCGCUCUUCCAGGACCUGAUCCGCUAUGGGAAAACCAAGUGUGGCGCGCCACCGCGCCCGGCCAUCUGCCGGAGCUUUGAUGUCCCCAAGAGGUACUUUUCUCAUUUCUAUGUCAUCUCAGUGCUGUGGAAUGGCUUCCUGCUUUGGUGCCUUACUCAAUGCCUGUUCCUGGGAGCGCCUUUUCCAGACUGGCUGUACACUUUACUCAGAAUUCUUGGGGCUGUGCAAUUCCGCGGGGGUGAGUUGGCGCUGUCUGCAUUCUUAGUACUGGUGUUUCUGUGGCUGCACAGCUUGCGGAGACUCUUCGAGUGCCUCUAUGUCAGUGUCUUUUCCAACGCUGUGAUUCACAUCGCGCAGUACUGCUUUGGACUCGUCUACUACGUCCUCGUCGGCCUAACUGUGCUGAGCCAAGUGCCGAUGGACGGCAGGAAUGUCUAUGUGGUAGGGAAAAAUCUCUUGAUGCAAACUCGGUGGUUCCAUAUCCUCGGUGUGAUGAUGUUCAUCUGGUCGUCGGUCCAUCAGUAUAAGUGCCACGUCAUUCUCGGCAAUCUCAGGAAAAAUAAAGCAGGAGUGAUCAUUCACUGUAACCACCGCAUCCCCUUUGGAGACUGGUUUGACUAUGUUUCCUCCCCUAACUACUUAGCAGAGCUGAUGAUCUACGUCUCCAUGGCCGUCACCUUGGGAUUCCAUAACAUAACUUGGUGGCUGGUGGUAACAUACGUCUUCUUCAGCCAGGCUCUGGCAGCUUUCCUCAGCCACAAGUUUUACAAAAGCAAAUUUGCCUCCUACCCAAAGCAUAGGAAAGCCUUCCUGCCGUUUCUGUUUUGAGAUAACCUCAGUCAUGAAGAAUGCAGGCCAGGUGGCUGGCUCAAUUCCUCAGGACAAGGACGUCUAGAGACCAAAGCGCAGUUUCGGCAGAGCUGUUAGAAACUCUGUGUUUAUACCCAAAGUCUUCACUGGAUGAGCAAAGCAAUAUCCAUCAAGAAAAUGAAACUUCAAAGCACUGCUUCUGGCAGACCCGGGAGUGCUGAGUUGCUUUACAAAACCAGCCAACUGCUAAAAACUGGAUGAGACUCCUCGGGGCUGCUUCAAAGCAAACUAACCCAGAGCGUGCACACAGCUCCAAACAUGCACCUACAGCCACAGAGGAAGAGGAGAUCAUCUGUGGCUUUGUUAGGGACAAAUUAACUGGACAUCAUAAUAAGUGAUACAAUUUGCCAUCUUCAGGACCAGGACUCAGGAACCAAACUUUCUACAUUGGAAAUGUAAAGCAUAUUGUAGUUUGGCCGUAAUGUCCACAUCAAUGGCAUGAAUAAUUUUUAACAGCAAAUUGCUUGGGAGGAAAUGUAUUUUGCUUCAGCAUGCCAUUUUACACUAGGUCAGACUAGAAUUUGGCCAAUGUUCUGGAAUUUCACUGUACUCUUAACUAAAGCAAUGAGCAUCCCUGUGAAGAACCAUUCUCGGGGCCUUGAUGAAGCGUCCCCAGUCCUUGCUAUCCUUGCUGUCCCUUGCACGCUCUUUCAUGCUCCUUACUUUACUUUUCCCUUUCUUGCCCAAACAUUGCAUUUCUGUGUGAAGAUAAAAGAGGAAGUCAUGAUGUCCUCAGAGGGGCUCAGGACAAAGUAGCGUGGUCUUUGACAAAAGCUUAGCCACGGAGAAUAAUUGAGAAUGGUGCAGCACUUGCAAGAUCACAGUCAGCACUGCUUUUUGUGUCAAUGAAAACUGUCCCUGUGCCUAAAGGGAGAGCACCAAAGAGAGUCAGCAAAUUCAUCACACGGGGAAUCCAGAGAUCACUUAGGGGUGGGGGUUCUUGAUUUUCCUGCAAGCUUAGUUGAACCACCUCAUUUCAUUCUCUACUACUAUUAAAUUAGGGGGAAAUGAUACUGAACUACCUCAUAACAGCAUUCCCUGGGUUACCUACUGCCUAGAAAAAGUGUGCAGAAAAUAGCCUUUGUUAAGUCUCCAAGUUGUAGCUCAUCGCCUAUGCUAACACUUGAUUUCAGCAAGCAGGGAUGAUUUUAUAUCCACAAGACUGUUCUGUAUUAUGUGGGGUUUUUAAAAAUUUAUCUUUAAUUAUUGAAAGUAUUACAGAUGUCCCCUUUUUUCCCAUUGACCUCCUUCCGCCAGGCCUUCACCACACUGUUGUCAGAGUUCAUGGGUUAUGCAUAUAUGCUUGUAAAUUAUUUGGUUAAUCUCUCCCCCCCUCACCCCUGUAUUAUGUUUAUAAUUCAAUGAGUGGUUGUUGCUAGAAUUCAUACCAAAGAUAAAAGAGCCUUUGCAGAGCCUUGGACGGUUUUCUCAAUGGUUAAAGCGUCAGCCUGUGGGCCGAGGGGUCUCGAGUUCUUCCUGGUCAAGGGCAUGUUUCCUGGGUGCAUGCAGGAGACAACCAAUCAAUGUGUCCCUGUCACAUCCAUGUUUCUCUCUCUCUUCCCUUCCACUCUCUCUAGAAAUCAUUGGAGGAAUAUCCUCAGGUGAGGAUUAAAAAUAAAAAAAGAGCCUUUGCAGAUAUUUUAUAUGAAGCUUAAUAGAUAGUCUAAGGAUACUAUAAACAUUUGCAUAAUUAAAGUACCUGAAAACUCAAGAACCACUGAUGUGUAAUAUAGCUCUAAAUGAACUAAUAUAUUAAAGAAUACCUUCAAAUAG